GAGUGGGAAAUGUACAUUUUCACACACAUAAUUUAAAGUAAGUAUGUUUUGCUGUACUUGAUAUAAAUUGUAAAGGACAAAAUAUUUCUCCACCUUUUAUCCUGUCAACUGCCAAAGGUCAACCUUAUGAGUGUUCAUACAGCUGACAUGGAAACUGCAAACUGUUAAGCUAGAUAAUACAUGCAAAGGAGGUAAUCUGUGGAUAACUUAAGUAUUUAGGAUACAGGUAUAUAUACACACACACACUUUAUUAAUACUACAUACAUACGUACGUAUACAUGUAGUAGUAACAACAAAUAUGCAAUUACAAAAUGAAACCUUAACAUCAACAGAUGCAAGUUGGCAAAAGUCAUCAGCAACUAUAAAAAUAUGAAGAGAAAUUAUCUUAAAAUGUAAUCCAAAAGCCUGAAGAUAAGAAAUGGCAAAAAAAUGUCAAACUAUACAGUCAUGAGUGGUGUAUAACUGAGUACUAGCAUUCAAAUAUACCUUAAAAUAUAAUCUCAAAAUCCUCAGUCAAUAUGAUUCUAUGAGAUAUUGUUUUCCCAUAAGUAUAAUGUACAGUCGGUUUUACAAAGGUUAAAAUAUUUUAUGUUUGUUCUAUUAUUCUAAACUUUUUUUUGGAAAGCCCUUAACAUCAGCUUGAGAUGUUUUAUUAACUUACAACAUAAUGUAAAUAGAAUUGUUUGGCAUACUGUUUUUCUCAAUCUUAAAUACAUAGCCAUCUGUAUGUGAUAAAUCAUUUUCACUUAAAUAUUUUUUAUUGUCCAGUAUUAAUUCUUUGGUCCAUAAAUGAUUGAAAUGUCCAAAAUUAAAAAUCCACAUCUGAAACUCUGUAGCUUAGCAGCUUGAAAGUCACUUUUGCUUGGGCUCAGAGUAAUAAGCUGAUUAGCUUUAACUAGCCUGUAACCCACAAAAUACAACUUUGAUCAAGGUGAAAAAAAAACAUUGCUUCACCAUAUAAUCACUUAAGUACCUAAUUAACUAUAUUUACUGCCUGCCUGAAUAAUCCAAAACUUCCACAUAAAUUCACUAAAGUACCUACUUAG